GGUUAAGCGACUAAGCGUACACGGUGGAUGCCCUGGCAGUCAGAGGCGAUGAAGGACGUGCUAAUCUGCGAUAAGCGCCGGUAAGGUGAUAUGAACCGUUAUAACCGGCGAUUUCCGAAUGGGGAAACCCAGUGUGACUCGUCACACUAUCAUUAACUGAAUCCAUAGGUUAAUGAGGCGAACCGGGGGAACUGAAACAUCUAAGUACCCCGAGGAAAAGAAAUCAACCGAGAUUCCCCCAGUAGCGGCGAGCGAACGGGGAGGAGCCCAGAGCCUGAAUCAGCAUGUGUGUUAGUGGAAGCGUCUGGAAAGGCGCGCGAUACAGGGUGACAGCCCCGUACACAAAAGCGCAUGUGCUGUGAGCUCGAUGAGUAGGGCGGGACACGUGGUAUCCUGUCUGAAUAUGGGGGGACCAUCCUCCAAGGCUAAAUACUCCUGACUGACCGAUAGUGAACCAGUACCGUGAGGGAAAGGCGAAAAGAACCCCGGCGAGGGGAGUGAAAAAGAACCUGAAACCGUGUACGUACAAGCAGUGGGAGCCCCACCACUAAGCCAGUGGUGAACUCCACAUACGCAUCCUUUGCUGAGGAUACGGUUAACGGAGCGAAAGCGACGUUCAACCGCAAAAAAAGAAGCAGAGGGGGCUUAGUGGUGGGGUGACUGCGUACCUUUUGUAUAAUGGGUCAGCGACUUAUAUUCUGUAGCAAGGUUAACCGAAUAGGGGAGCCGGAGGGAAACCGAGUCUUAAUUGGGCGUUAAGUUGCAGGGUAUAGACCCGAAACCCGGUGAUCUAGCCAUGGGCAGGUUGAAGGUUGGGUAACACUAACUGGAGGACCGAACCGACUAAUGUUGAAAAAUUAGCGGAUGACCUGUGGCUGGGGGUGAAAGGCCAAUCAAACCGGGAGAUAGCUGGUUCUCCCCGAAAGCUAUUUAGGUAGCGCCUCGUGAAUUCAUCUCCGGGGGUAGAGCACUGUUUCGGCUAGGGGGCCAUCCCGGCUUACCAACCCGAUGCAAACUGCGAAUACCGGAGAAUGUUAUCACGGGAGACACACGGCGGGUGCUAACGUCCGUCGUGAAGAGGGAAACAACCCAGACCGCCAGCUAAGGUCCCAAAGUCAUGGUUAAGUGGGAAACGAUGUGGGAAGGCCCAGACAGCCAGGAUGUUGGCUUAGAAGCAGCCAUCAUUUAAAGAAAGCGUAAUAGCUCACUGGUCGAGUCGGCCUGCGCGGAAGAUGUAACGGGGCUAAACCAUGCACCGAAGCUGCGGCAGCGACGCUGAUGCGUUGUUGGGUAGGGGAGCGUUCUGUAAGCCUGCGAAGGUGUGUCGUGAGGCAUGCUGGAGGUAUCAGAAGUGCGAAUGCUGACAUAAGUAACGAUAAAGCGGGUGAAAAGCCCGCUCGCCGGAAGACCAAGGGUUCCUGUCCAACGUUAAUCGGGGCAGGGUGAGUCGACCCCUAAGGCGAGGCCGAAAGGCGUAGUCGAUGGGAAACGGGUUAAUAUUCCCGUACUUGGUGUUACUGCGAAGGGGGGACGGAGAAGGCUAUGUUGGCCGGGCGACGGUUGUCCCGGUUUAAGCGUGUAGGUGUGUGUUCCAGGUAAAUCCGGUUCACUUUAACACUGAGGCGUGAUGACGAGGCACUACGGUGCUGAAGCAACAAAUGCCCUGCUUCCAGGAAAAGCCUCUAAGCAUCAGGUAACAUCAAAUCGUACCCCAAACCGACACAGGUGGUCAGGUAGAGAAUACCAAGGCGCUUGAGAGAACUCGGGUGAAGGAACUAGGCAAAAUGGUGCCGUAACUUCGGGAGAAGGCACGCUGACACGUAGGUGAAGUGAUUUACUCAUGGAGCUGAAGUCAGUCGAAGAUACCAGCUGGCUGCAACUGUUUAUUAAAAACACAGCACUGUGCAAACACGAAAGUGGACGUAUACGGUGUGACGCCUGCCCGGUGCCGGAAGGUUAAUUGAUGGGGUCAGCGCAAGCGAAGCUCCUGAUCGAAGCCCCGGUAAACGGCGGCCGUAACUAUAACGGUCCUAAGGUAGCGAAAUUCCUUGUCGGGUAAGUUCCGACCUGCACGAAUGGCGUAAUGAUGGCCAGGCUGUCUCCACCCGAGACUCAGUGAAAUUGAACUCGCUGUGAAGAUGCAGUGUACCCGCGGCAAGACGGAAAGACCCCGUGAACCUUUACUAUAGCUUGACACUGAACAUUGAGCCUUGAUGUGUAGGAUAGGUGGGAGGCUUUGAAGUGUGGACGCCAGUCUGCAUGGAGCCGGCCUUGAAAUACCACCCUUUAAUGUUUGAUGUUCUAACGUGGACCCGUGAUCCGGGUUGCGGACAGUGUCUGGUGGGUAGUUUGACUGGGGCGGUCUCCUCCUAAAGAGUAACGGAGGAGCACGAAGGUUGGCUAAUCCUGGUCGGACAUCAGGAGGUUAGUGCAAUGGCAUAAGCCAGCUUGACUGCGAGCGUGACGGCGCGAGCAGGUGCGAAAGCAGGUCAUAGUGAUCCGGUGGUUCUGAAUGGAAGGGCCAUCGCUCAACGGAUAAAAGGUACUCCGGGGAUAACAGGCUGAUACCGCCCAAGAGUUCAUAUCGACGGCGGUGUUUGGCACCUCGAUGUCGGCUCAUCACAUCCUGGGGCUGAAGUAGGUCCCAAGGGUAUGGCUGUUCGCCAUUUAAAGUGGUACGCGAGCUGGGUUUAGAACGUCGUGAGACAGUUCGGUCCCUAUCUGCCGUGGGCGCUGGAGAACUGAGGGGGGCUGCUCCUAGUACGAGAGGACCGGAGUGGACGCAUCACUGGUGUUCGGGUUGUCAUGCCAAUGGCACUGCCCGGUAGCUAAAUGCGGAAGAGAUAAGUGCUGAAAGCAUCUAAGCACGAAACUUGCCCCGAGAUGAGUUCUCCCUGAGACUUAGAGUCUCCUGAAGGAACGUUGAAGACGACGACGUUGAUAGGCCGGGUGUGUAAGCGCAGCGAUGCGUUGAGCUAACCGGUACUAAUGAACCGUGAGGCUUAACCUU
rnacentral:rRNA from 1 species